rnacentral:tRNA from 1 species
UUAAGUGAAGCCAAAGAGAGGCCUAUCACUGUUAAUGAUAAAAUUGGGGCCGCCCCCACUUAAG